AAUGCACAGGAAAGAAAUGGACAUAAAACCAAUUGGUCAUCUGCUUAUAAACUGUACAGCUUUCCCAGAGAGUCCACCUACCAUAUGGCUGAUGCUGGCCAAGCUGUGUGGUGAUUCAGAGUCAGGCCAGCUAUGGCAUUCCAAGACGUAAUUCCAUUUUGGCCUCGGGUCACAACGGAGAUCUCAAUGAUACCGUGAUGCUGUAAUGCUCCAGGCUGCGGGAGACACCCUGGGAGGAACCAAAUCUUCAUCUGUGUAGUUCCUGGGAGGAGCCAAAUCUUCAUCUACAUAGUUCCUCCUGCUCUUAGAUUUCCACCGCCCCCCAGUCUUUUGUUACACCUUGUUUAUCCCAAUGUGAAGUACUGAAAUAAAUAU
rnacentral:lncRNA from 1 species